ACGAACGCUGGCGGCGUGCUUAACACAUGCAAGUCGAACGCUGAAGCUUGGUGCUUGCACUGGGUGGAUGAGUGGCGAACGGGUGAGUAAUACGUGAGUAACCUGCCCUUGACUCUGGGAUAAGCCUGGGAAACUGGGUCUAAUACUGGAUACGACAUGUCACCGCAUGGUGGUGUGUGGAAAGGGUUUUACUGGUUUUGGAUGGGCUCACGGCCUAUCAGCUUGUUGGUGGGGUAAUGGCUCACCAAGGCGACGACGGGUGGCCGGCCUGAGAGGGUGACCGGCCACAGGGGGACGGAGACACGGCCGAGACUCGUCGGGGGGGCGGCGGGGGGGAAUAUUGCACAGGGGGGGGAGGCCUGAUGCAGCGACGCGGGGGGGGGGAGGGCGGCUUUCGGGUUGUAACCCUUUUUCAGCAGGAAAGAAGGAAAGGGGAGGGAAGGUUAAAAAGAGGCGCCGGCUAGCUAGGUC
rnacentral:rRNA from 1 species